GCUGUGGGAUAGCUCAGUCCGGAGAGCACAAGACUCUUAAUCUCAGGGUUGUGGGUUUGAGUCCCGCACUGGGCA
rnacentral:tRNA from 1 species